UGAACGCUGGCGGCGUGCCUAAUACAUGCAAGUCGAGCGAACGGACGAGAAGCUUGCUUCUCUGAUGUUAGCGGCGGACGGGUGAGUAACACGUGGAUAACCUACCUAUAAGACUGGGAUAACUUCGGGAAACCGGAGCUAAUACCGGAUAAUAUUUUGAACCGCAUGGUUCAAAAGUGAAAGACGGUCUUGCUGUCACUUAUAGAUGGAUCCGCGCUGCAUUAGCUAGUUGGUAAGGUGACGGCUUACCAAGGCAACGAUGCAUAGCCGACCUGAGAGGGUGAUCGGCCACACUGGAACUGAGACACGGUCCAGACUCCUACGGGAGGCAGCAGUAGGGAAUCUUCCGCAAUGGGCGAAAGCCUGACGGAGCAACGCCGCGUGAGUGAUGAAGGUCUUCGGAUCGUAAAACUCUGUUAUUAGGGAAGAACAUAUGUGUAAGUAACUGUGCACAUCUUGACGGUACCUAAUCAGAAAGCCACGGCUAACUACGUGCCAGCAGCCGCGGUAAUACGUAGGUGGCAAGCGUUAUCCGGAAUUAUUGGGCGUAAAGCGCGCGUAGGCGGUUUUUUAAGUCUGAUGUGAAAGCCCACGGCUCAACCGUGGAGGGUCAUUGGAAACUGGAAAACUUGAGUGCAGAAGAGGAAGGUGGAAUUCCAUGUGUAGCGGUGAAAUGCGCAGAGAUAUGGAGGAACACCAGUGGCGAAGGCGACUUUCUGGUCUGUAACUGACGCUGAUGUGCGAAAGCGUGGGGAUCAAACAGGAUUAGAUACCCUGGUAGUCCACGCCGUAAACGAUGAGUGCUAAGUGUUAGGGGGUUUCCGCCCCUUAGUGCUGCAGCUAACGCAUUAAGCACUCCGCCUGGGGAGUACGACCGCAAGGUUGAAACUCAAAGGAAUUGACGGGGACCCGCACAAGCGGUGGAGCAUGUGGUUUAAUUCGAAGCAACGCGAAGAACCUUACCAAAUCCUGACAUCCUUUGACAACUCUAGAGAUAGAGCCUUCCCCUUCGGGGGACAAAGUGACAGGUGGUGCAUGGUUGUCGUCAGCUCGUGUCGUGAGAUGUUGGGUUAAGUCCCGCAACGAGCGCAACCCUUAAGCUUAGUUGCCAUCAUUAAGUUGGGCACUCUAAGUUGACUGCCGGUGACAAACCGGAGGAAGGUGGGGAUGACGUCAAAUCAUCAUGCCCCUUAUGAUUUGGGCUACACACGUGCUACAAUGGACAAUACAAAGGGCAGCGAAACCGCGAGGUCAAGCAAAUCCCAUAAAGUUGUUCUCAGUUCGGAUUGUAGUCUGCAACUCGACUACAUGAAGCUGGAAUCGCUAGUAAUCGUAGAUCAGCAUGCUACGGUGAAUACGUUCCCGGGUCU
rnacentral:rRNA from 1 species